rnacentral:rRNA from 1 species
CGACCGCUGGCGGCGUGCCUAAUACAUGCAAGUCGACCGCUUCUUUCCUCCCGAGUGCUUGCACUCAAUUGGAAAGAGGAGUGGCGGACGGGUGAGUAACACGUGGGUAACCUACCCAUCAGAGGGGGAUAACACUUGGAAACAGGUGCUAAUACCGCAUAACAGUUUAUGCCGCAUGGCAUAAGAGUGAAAGGCGCUUUCGGGUGUCGUUGAUGGAUGGACCCGCGGUGCAUUAGCUAGUUGGUGAGGUAACGGCUCACCAAGGCCACGAUGCAUAGCCGACCUGAGAGGGUGAUCGGCCACACUGGGACUGAGACACGGCCCAGACUCCUACGGGAGGCAGCAGUAGGGAAUCUUCGGCAAUGGACGAAAGUCUGACCGAGCAACGCCGCGUGAGUGAAGAAGGUUUUCGGAUCGUAAAACUCUGUUGUUAGAGAAGAACAAGGACGUUAGUAACUGAACGUCCCCUGACGGUAUCUAACCAGAAAGCCACGGCUAACUACGUG